ACCUGGUUGAUCCUGCCAGGGGCGACCGCUAUUGGAGUUCGAUUAAGCCAUGCGAGUAGAAAGAAAUUAGAUUCUUUGCAUACUGCUCAGUAACACGUGGAUAACCUGCCCUACACUGGGGGAUAACCUCGGGAAACUGAGAAUAAUACCCCAUAGACCACAACGCCUGGAACGGUGUGUGGUUGAAAGCUCAGGCGGUGUAGGAUGGGUCUGCGGCGUAUCAGGUCGUAGGGGGUGUAAUGGACCUCCUAGCCAUCGACGCGUACGGGUUGUGGGAGCAAUAGCCCGGAGACGGAUUCUGAGACACGAAUCCGGACCCUACGGGGUGCAGCAGGCGCGAAAACUUCACACUGCAGGCAACUGUGAUGAGGGAACUCCAAGUGACUGCACAUUGUGUAGCCUUUUCUUGAAUUUUAAUAGUUCUUGGAAUAAGGGCUGGGAAAGACCGGUGCCAGCCGCCGCGGUAAUACCGGCAGCUCAAGUGGUCGUCGCUUUUAUAGGGCCUAAAACGUCCGUAGCCUGUUUGGUAAAUCUG
rnacentral:rRNA from 1 species